CGCCUGUUUAUCAAAAACAUCUUUUCUUGUUAGUUUUUGAAGUAUGGCCUGCCCGCUGAUUUUAGGUUGAAGGGCCGCGGUAUUUUGACCGUGCAAAGGUAGCAUAAUCAUUAGUUCUUUAAUUGUGAUCUGGUAUGAAUGGCUUGACGAGGCAUGGGCUGUCUUGGAUUGGAAUUGUUUAUUGAAUUUGGUUUUUGAGUUAAAAUUCUUAAAUGUUUUUAUGGGACGAGAAGACCCUAUAGAGUUUAACAUUUAUUUAUAUAGCUUGUUUAUAGGUUUGUUUUGUAGUUGCUUUGUGUUAAUGUGUUUUGUUGGGGUGAUGGGAAGAAUUUUCUUAACUCUUCUUUAUUUUGGUAUAUUGAUUUAUAUUGGUUUUGAUCCAUUUAUUUUGAUUGUAAGAUUAAAUUACCUUAGGGAUAACAGCGUAAA
rnacentral:rRNA from 1 species